GAUGAACGCUGGCGGCGUGCCUAAUACAUGCAAGUCGAGCGAACAGAUGAGGAGCUUGCUCCUCUGACGUUAGCGGCGGACGGGUGAGUAACACGUGGAUAACCUACCUAUAAGACUGGGAUAACUUCGGGAAACCGGAGCUAAUACCGGAUAAUAUAUUGAACCGCAUGGUUCAAUAGUGAAAGACGGUUUUGCUGUCACUUAUAGAUGGAUCCGCGCCGCAUUAGCUAGUUGGUAAGGUAACGGCUUACCAAGGCAACGAUGCGUAGCCGACCUGAGAAGGUGAUCGGCCACACUGGAACUGAGACACGGUCCAGACUCCUACGGGAGGCAGCAGUAGGGAAUCUUCCGCAAUGGGCGAAAGCCUGACGGAGCAACGCCGCGUGAGUGAUGAAGGUCUUCGGAUCGUAAAACUCUGUUAUUAGGGAAGAACAAAUGUGUAAGUAACUAUGCACGUCUUGACGGUACCUAAUCAGAAAGCCACGGUUAACUACGUG
rnacentral:rRNA from 1 species